UAACACAUGCAAGUCGAGCGAAGCCACUUUUGCGGAUUCUUCGGAUUUGAAGCAAUUGUGACUGAGCGGCGGACGGGUGAGUAACGCGUGGGUAACCUGCCUCAUACAGGGGGAUAACAGUUGGAAACGGCUGCUAAUACCGCAUAAGCGCACAGUACCGCAUGGUACCGUGUGAAAAACUCCGGUGGUAUGAGAUGGACCCGCGUCUGAUUAGCUAGUUGGUGGGGUAACGGCCUACCAAGGCGACGAUCAGUAGCCGACCUGAGAGGGUGACCGGCCACAUUGGGACUGAGACACGGCCCAAACUCCUACGGGAGGCAGCAGUGGGGAAUAUUGCACAAUGGGGGAAACCCUGAUGCAGCGACGCCGCGUGAGCGAUGAAGUAUUUCGGUAUGUAAAGCUCUAUCAGCAGGGAAGAAAAUGACGGUACCUGACUAAGAAGCCCCGGCUAACUACGUGCCAGCAGCCGCGGUAAUACGUAGGGGGCAAGCGUUAUCCGGAUUUACUGGGUGUAAAGGGAGCGUAGACGGCAUGGCAAGCCAGAUGUGAAAGCCCGGGGCUCAACCCCGGGACUGCAUUUGGAACUGUCAGGCUAGAGUGUCGGAGAGGAAAGCGGAAUUCCUAGUGUAGCGGUGAAAUGCGUAGAUAUUAGGAGGAACACCAGUGGCGAAGGCGGCUUUCUGGACGAUGACUGACGUUGAGGCUC
rnacentral:rRNA from 1 species